GAUGAAGAACGCAGCGAAAUGCGAUAAGUAGUGUGAAUUGCAGAAUUCAGUGAAUCAUCGAAUCUUUGAACGCACAUCGCGCCCCUUGGUAUUCCAUGGGGCAUGCCUGUUCGAGCGUCAUUUGUACCCUCAAGCUCUGCUUGGUGUUGGGUGUUUGUCUCGCGGUUCUGCGCAGACUCGCCUUAAAACAAUUGGCAGCCGGCUUGUUAGCCUGGAGCGCAGCACAUUUUGCGAUCCAGAUCAACGUACAGCGGCAUCCAAGAAGCCUUAUUUAACGCUCUUGACCUCGGAUCAGGUAGGGAUACCCGCUGAACUUAAGCAUAUCAAUAAGCGGAGGA
rnacentral:misc_RNA from 1 species